rnacentral:rRNA from 1 species
UACGAGGGGGGCUAGCGUUGCUCGGAAUCACUGGGCGUAAAGGGCGCGUAGGCGGAUCUUUAAGUCGGGGGUGAAAGCCUGAGGCUCAACCUCAGAAUUGCCUUCGAUACUGGAGAUCUUGAGACCGGAAGAGGUAAGUGGAACUGCGAGUGUAGAGGUGAAAUUCGUAGAUAUUCGCAAGAACACCAGUGGCGAAGGCGGCUUACUGGUCCGGUUCUGACGCUGGGGCGCGAAAGCGUGGGGAGCAAACAGG